ensembl:lncRNA
AUUUGAAGUAAACUAAUUGUGCAUUAUUCUCAGAGUAUUGGAUUUUGUCCAAACUGUUUAACAUUUAAUAAAUUGUAAAAAGUAUCUUUAGGUGCUUGAAUCACCCAAAACCACCCUAAGAAAUAGCACUUACCAGUUGAUUCAGGAAGGUCAGAGCCAUUGUUAGGGUAUCUGUUGUGACAAUAAGGGAGAUAGGUGCUCUUCUUCUUUGAGUCUUCUCUUGCCAUAUUUACCACUGAUAAUAUAAUCGUUACAUAACUGUUAUCUUAGAAAGUGUCCAUUGAGUAUUUACUAGUUGACCACUAUUUCAUUCUGAGCGGCCUGAGACAGGAGAUGUUCAUUUAAAUGCUCACAGACUGAUAAGAACUUGAGACGAUUCACAAUCCAACACAAAAUCCAAUGUGACAAUAGAAGUGAUCAUGGUAGAUCACUCCAUGUGUAAGAACCAGGUGAUUCACACAUGGACCGGCAGUUAUCACUCUAGAUUGAGUAUAGGUACACAGCCAAAUGAUACUUUCACUGAUGAAUUUAGAACCAUGUAUUUCACUAUAUAAGUGGAAGAAUUUUAGUAAAUCUUUAUAAAUUAUAAAAAAGAAAGAAUUGUGUUACAAUUUCAACAGCAAUGAAUGUGAUUGUAGUUUCACACUCCAUGAUUUCGGUGUCCAAAUUCACUGAAUGUUGCCCCAACUUGUUAGCACUUUCAUUUAAACUGCAGUAAAUGUGCUACAAUUAGGGUAACAUUCAGAGAUACAUUGCAGGACUCACACAAGUUAGUAACAUCAAUCAGACACAUGAGACUGCCCCAAAGAGUAGCACUUAUCGAUGAAAUAAAAAUCAGUGCUUCUAUUUGAAGUAAUCUAAAUGUGCUUGUUUUAUUUUUGGUAAAGUAUUUGAUGUCAUCUUACGAAUGAGCAGUUUCAUGAAAUCUGAUGAGAUCAAUUGAGACUGCCCCAAAGAGUAGCACUUAUCGAUGAAAUAAAAAUCAGUGCUUCUAUUUGAAGUAAUCUAAUUGUGCUUGUUUUUUUUUUUUGGUAAUGUAUUUGUUGUCAUCCUAUGAUUGAGCAAUUUCAUUAAACCUGGAUAAAAGAUCUUAUUGAUUCAGUC